CACAGAGUGGCCCAGUAGAAGAGCACUGGGCCCAAAACCCAGAGGCUGGUGCAUCAAAACCAUCUUCUGUUG
rnacentral:tRNA from 1 species